CUUGACCGAGCCGAGCCACAGCGGCCGCUCCGCGUCCCGCUCCUGCCCGCCCGUGGCAAGCAGCGCCUGCGCCUC
rnacentral:antisense_RNA from 1 species